ACUAUGAUCACUAUGGUAGCACAGACUAAGACUGAAGCAACACAGAGAAGACUGGCAUGUUCCCUGUGCACGGAUGACAUGCUAAGCUGUGAAGCGGUCCAUAUAGAG